CAGUCGCACGGGAAUACGUAGGUGGCAAGCGUUGUCCGGAAUUAUUGGGCGUAAAGGGCUCGCAGGCGGUUUCUUAAGUCUGAUGUGAAAGCCCCCCGGCUCAACCGGGGAGGGUCAUUGGAAACUGGGAAACUUGAGUGCAGAAGAGGAGAGUGGAAUUCCACGUGUAGCGGUGAAAUGCGUAGAGAUGUGGAGGAACACCAGUGGCGAAGGCGACUCUCUGGUCUGCAACUGACGCUGAGGAGCGAAAGCGUGGGGAGCGAACAGGAUUAGAUACCCCUGUAGUCCCUGUCUCUUAUAA
rnacentral:rRNA from 1 species